UAUGAAAACAUGGAGAGAUGGAGUGACAUAGAGACAUUCUAAACAACAAGUCAAUAUUCUGCUAGACAUUUGUUGUAACCUCCAUUGUAUUUCUCCAUCACUUAGUAGAUUCUCUUACACCCCAAAUACUCUUCCCAAUCUUGCUUGUUUGUUUAGUUACUUUGCUUCCUUACUUGUGUGUGUGAUUGGCUUCCACAACACCUUGAGGUCCCAAUUAUCCAAGGUUGUACUUAUUGACCGCUGUGAGCACUUGCAAUCUGUUGAUUGCUGGAAUCAACCCUUUUGUUUAUCUUCCGCUGUGUAUUGAGAGAUUAAGGCUGACUCAGUUCGACAGACUGGUCUAAGUGUCGCAUAGUGAUAGAGCAUAUUUUAGUCCAUAUUAUCAUUAUUUUCUUAAUGUCUAUUUGCAUCUUUUCUGCUUAAUUUUGUGAUUUUAAUCAUGUUGUGCAGAUAUUAAGUGUAAAGAGACAAUCUGGAGAAAAUGCUUUUAAAACUGCCAAAAAGUGCCAAAUAUGGAAAGUUCCAAAAAAAGGAAAGUUUCAAAUAAGGAAAGUUUUCAGAAAAGGAAAGUUCUCAAAUAAAGAAAGUGCAAAAGCAAAAGCAGAUUAGGAAAGUUCAGUCAGAAGAUUAUUUGAAAUUUAAAUCGCAGAUCUUUCUUUCCUUGUUCAAAGAUGUGCACACACUGCAACAGUCAAAUCUUCCUAUUUAGGCAGCAAGAUUUCAAGGAGAUACACUUGCCUCUUCUUUAUUCAGCAUUCAAAAUUCGAACGAAGGCUCCACCUAAAAAGGAAAGACAAGACAGAUUCACUUUCCCUUCUGCAUUCAAUGACCACGCGCGACCUGCCUUCUGCAAAGCAAGAUGCGCUCCUUCCUCUUCUGAAUCCUUGGUGCACGCCUCCUUCCUUCUGAAAGCCUUAGAACGUGUCUCUUUCCUUCUGAAGCUCCAGCCAUGUCUCCUUCCUCUUCUGAAAGCAUUAAUGCACGAUUAUUUCCUCUUUUGAACACAAGUCGCGCGCCUCUUUCCUUCCGGAUAAUUUACAACGCGAUUCUUUCCUUUUCAGACACAACUUGGGCAGAAAGCACCACUUGGGCAGCAACUUAGGCAGCAAUGAGACCUAGGGCAAUACUUUCAACUAUAAAAAGACACAUAAGGUGCCUCCACACAGCUUUCACAGACCACCUUGGAGACACCUACGGGAUUCACAUCUCUUCUUCUACCUUUCUUCUUUUCUUUUAUUUUUGGUUUUGUUUCAGCCAUGAGAGGCUGAAAUCUUUUAUUCUAGUUGAAGAUUAGGUGAUACUUUAGUUGUUAUAUGGAUUGGGAGACUUGAUCAAACAUUGUUUAACUUUUGGUUGUUCAAUAUUUAUGCAAUUUCAUGCUUGAUUUCAAUAUUGCUUUGUUGUUUAGAUCUACGUUGAUUCUUGAUUGCAAGGUAAUAAUAUGUUAGUUUGGAUGAUUUAAGUAUGUAAUUGCUUGGAUUAUUCAAACAUAAGAACACUUGGUGUAAAAACUAAGGAAAUUGUAUGAUCUAACGACAUCUCAUGCGUUUGAGUAGUUAGGAUUGGAUCUCUCUAUCUCCUUAUGCAAUUAACAAUUGUUUUGAUGCCUAAGGUCCAAGGACGUUCCUUGGCAAUUUGUUAAUUAGUAAUUAAUUAGAGGACGUUCCUUAAUUGGUUUAAUCAUAAGGAGAGAUAUGGUGGUGAGAAGCGUCUUCCAUCUCCAUAACUAAUCUAUUGAAUCAAUCAAGAGAAACUAAGUGUCAAUGAUCAAUCCCAACAACUGAAGUGGAUCCAAUUCUUCAACUAGAGCCUUUCUCAUUAUUGUUUACUCUUUAUUUUUAUUAUUCGCUUUACUUUUAUUGCUUUCAGUAGUUGCUUAAUUAAAUCAAACUCAAAACCUCCCAUUUUACUUUCAGUUUAUUUCUCUUUCAGUUAUAUUUGCUUUCAGUUUAUUUCUCUUUCAGUUUAUUUCUCUUUCAGUUUACUUUUAUUACAGUUAAUUCUCUUGGUCUUGAUAAGAAAAAUAGGUAAGUAUUCAAUUCCCUGUGGAUUCGAUCCUUUCACCACUAUCUUUAGUUGUAAAUUGUUGAUAAUCGAAAGGUUAUUUUUGACCGGCCUCAACAACCGCGAGUCACAUGGCUUGAGUGUUUUUCGGGGUUGGAAUCGUUAAACACGUGACAAUAUAUGCGAUAAGUGUCAAGUAGAAGUGCAGUGAUGUAUGCAACUGAGGCACAGAUCGAUAGACUUGAACUUUGUUCCUAUAUGACCCGAUCAAUUCGAUUAAUUUUUCUAUUUCCACAUGCUCUUUUCUUCCUCCAUUACUUUCUUUUUUCUUUCAUUCCUUACAUUAUAUCUUUCUCUCCUAACUAUUAUUUAAUUCUUUUUUUUUAUUUCAUUUCCCAAUUAAAUUCAUUCCCAAUAUUUAUUUUAAGGGUUCUACUUCUUUUUUUUGAUUUCCAGUCCCUAUUGCUUGAAGUUCUUGAAAUUUAACGUUGUACUAAUUUCUCUUCUUGAAUUUUUUUUUCUCAGUUUCUUUUGGAAACAAAAAUAACCACAUUUGGGAGCUAAAAUUCUCUAGGAAUGUUGAUUAGUUGGGCUACCCGAAAUAAGAAAGACCCUGUUGGCUAGAGCAGUUGUUAGAGUGACUUUUUCUCUAGCAAAACAUCAAAGUUUGUGAAAUUGUUCAUCAGAGUUGGGCUACCAUUAUUCAUUAAUAGCAUACUAUUACCCAUAUUUUAUUUUUGGUGGUAAUAAUUCUUUUAA
rnacentral:lncRNA from 1 species